UACGAAGGGGGGCUAGCGUUGUUCGGAAUUACUGGGCGUAAAGCGCACGUAGGCGGACUAUUAAGUCAGGGGUGAAAUCCCGGGGCUCAACCCCGGAACUGCCUUUGAUACUGGUAGUCUCGAGUCCGGAAGAGGUGAGUGGAAUUCCGAGUGUAGAGGUGAAAUUCGUAGAUAUUCGGAGGAACACCAGUGGCGAAGGCGGCUCACUGGUCCGGUACUGACGCUGAGGUGCGAAAGCGUGGGGGAGCAAACAGG
rnacentral:rRNA from 1 species